UACCAGCACCCCGAGUGGUCGGGACGUUUAUUGGGCCUAAAGCAUCCGUAGCCGGUUCUACAAGUCUUCCGUUAAAUCCACCUGCUCAACAGAUGGGCUGCGGAAGAUACUAUGGAGCUAGGAGGCGGGAGAGGCAAGCGGUACUCGAUGGGUAGGGGUAAAAUCCGUUGAUCCAUUGAAGACCACCAGUGGCGAAGGCGGCUGCCAGAACGCGCUCGACGGUGAGGGAUGAAAGCGGGGAGCAACCGGG
rnacentral:rRNA from 1 species